CCUACGGGUGGCUGCAGUGGGGAAUAUUGGACAAUGGGGGGAACCCUGAUCCAGCCAUGCCGCGUGUGUGAAGAAGGCCCUCGGGUUGUAAAGCACUUUCAGUGAGGAAGAACGCCUGGUGGUUAAUACCCAUCAGGAAAGACAUCACUCACAGAAGAAGCACCGGCUAACUCCGUGCCAGCAGCCGCGGUAAUACGGAGGGUGCGAGCGUUAAUCGGAAUUACUGGGCGUAAAGCGCGCGUAGGUGGCUUGAUAAGCCGGUUGUGAAAGCCCCGGGCUCAACCUGGGAACGGCAUCCGGAACUGUCAAGCUAGAGUGCAGGAGAGGAAGGUAGAAUUCCCGGUGUAGCGGUGAAAUGCGUAGAGAUCGGGAGGAAUACCAGUGGCGAAGGCGGCCUUCUGGACUGACACUGACACUGAAGUGCGAAAGCGUGGGUAGCAAACAGGAUUAGAUACCCUGGUAGUC
rnacentral:rRNA from 1 species